UCUCAGAGAAUCAUUGGUGCGGAAUUGUAGGUAAUAGCUUAGGGCCACGAAUGACUUUUCAUUAUUAAGCAGUAGGUUUACUACCAAAAUUCCACUAAUAUCAUUGUUAUGAUUGGUUACCGAGGGAGGAAGGGAAAUACUACAAACAAACAAUGGUUCUAAAAUUGGCCUUCAAAACCAUAUUCCCACUUGUGUACACUGUCUACACAAGUGUACAGUACACACAAAUAUAUUUUGAAAAGCACAAAAGUAGACAGCUGCUGAGGUUAUAUGACGACAAAUGAUACGAAAUCAAUGAAGUUCAGUAAGCUGCUAUAAGGGUUCUUAAUGCUCCUAGCUGCUUCUAACCAAAUUGUUUGUAGUCUCUUUUUUAAAAUCUAGAUAUGUAUGAUCUUCCAAACACUUCUGGUUUGACUUUUUGUGAUUCUUUCAGAGCUGGCUUUGGGGUCUCUAAUAACAAUCUAAUGUAUGAAGAACCAGAAUGUCGUAAGUUAUUAAACUAAACACACCUUAUCCAUUUCUUUUUGGGUGUUCUGUUAAAAUUGGAAAUCAAAUGCAACUUUUUAAUUAAUCAAUCUCCUUUCUUUCUCAAAAUUGACAUUCUCAAGCAAGUUCUUCACCUAUCUUGCCAAAAAUUAUUUCAGAAAUUUCUUGGCAGUUGCAAAAAACUUCCUGCUUUUACGUCAUUUUCUGGCGAUUGCCUCGUGUUCCGAUUAAAUGCCAUUCUAAUCAUAGCCAAUCACCUAUCCUUAUGUUUUGCUGAAAGCAUUGUCUGUGUCGUAGGGAUUUUCAGAAACAGCCCCUGAACGUACUUUUUGUUGUCAUCUGUCAACCGAAAACGGCGAAGCCAUUCAAAUUUCAUCUGUAGUCUAUGUGCUUUUUUUUGCUACUAGAUAAAGAUUUGUCAGGAGUUUUUAAACCGGAAAUUAUCAGUCACAUGUACUGACGAAAGGACAGGGUACACUACAAGAAUUCUCUUUCUGCAUUUUUGUUUUCUUUUUUCUUAAUUUUACUGGUAGCGCCUUGCUGGGAGGAAUUCGAAAUCAAUCUAAAGUUUUUCCCCCAUGAACUAAGAGGAAAGAAAAGAAAAACUGUCGUAUUUAAACAAUAGCGCCUUAGCCAUAAUGAAAACGAAACUCAUUUAACAAUAAAGCACAUUAAAACGAAACCAUCCACGAUUAUCCGGCGUUGUUCGAAAAUCAACAUGACAAUACACAGGGAGUGAUAAUGACGAUGGCGUAGAGAAAAUUCAUCAAAGCAAAUAAUGAAUAAGUGGUAUUUUGUGGGCAUUUAAAUCUUGUUUACUUCUUAUUGUUUUUAGGAUAGUUUUUCCGAUGAGCUGGUGACCACCUAAUCGCCGAAACGUCAACAGUAAGUCGUGGUUUUUUGAACUGAGCUGAUUUGAUGUGCUCCUCAACCAGCUUUGGAGUAACACAGAUGACAUGCUGACCUUUCCAGUACUUGACCAUGUUCAUUGUUUGCAACGUUGAGACUAUAUCGCUCUGCGUGAUACUCGUCAUGUGGCUGUAGAAGAAUCAGAAUUCAUUAUUUACUAGUACAUUAAUAAAACAGUGGCUAGGCCAUACCUCAAAUCA